CUACGGGUGGCUCCAGUGAGGAAUAUUGCACAGUGGGGGGAACCCUGAUGCAGCAACGCCGCGUGGAGGAUGACGCAUUUCGGUGUGUAAACUCCUUUUAUAUGUCAAGAAAAUGACGGUAGCAUAUGAAUAAGCACCGGCUAACUCCGUGCCAGCAGCCGCGGUAAUACGGAGGGUGCAAGCGUUACUCGGAAUCACUGGGCGUAAAGGACGCGUAGGCGGGCUUGUAAGUCAGGUGUGAAAUCCUACAGCUUAACUGUAGAACUGCACUUGAAACUACGAGCCUAGAGUAUGGGAGGGGCAGAUGGAAUUAGUGGUGUAGGGGUAAAAUCCGUAGAUAUCACUAGGAAUACCUAAAGCGAAGGCGAUCUGCUGGAACAUAACUGACGCUAAGGCGUGAAAGCGUGGGGGGCAAACAGGAUUAGAUACCCGCGUAGUC
rnacentral:rRNA from 1 species